AAACUUUCUUCAAGCUUUGAUUCUAUCGUCUCCUCUGCAAGAAACUUUAGAAAAUCGCCAUUUGCAAGGUCUUUUAUGAGUUUUUUCUGCUUGGAAACCUGGUACUUCAGUUGCAAUAGGUCACUCUCUAGAUUUUUAGUCCCUCGAUUCUAUCAUCUCGUCUGCAAGAAACUUUAGAAAAUCGCCAUUUGCAAGGGUUUUUAUGAGGCUUUUCUGCUUUGAAACCUGGUACUUCAGUUGCAAUAGGUCACUCUCUAGAUUUUUAGUCCCUUCAAAUAUCCUGCUAAGAAAGACACUGUCAGCUAGCAGAAGAAGUCACUGAAAUUCAUCAAAAAUAACUUUUCACAUUGGUUUAUAUAGCAAUU
rnacentral:lncRNA from 1 species